rnacentral:lncRNA from 1 species
AACAAUCGAUGAUGAUAUCGAUGUCCGGUACCUUUUCGACAUACUUGGGAUUUAGGGCACCUUAUGGUUACACGCCUAUAGUGACCCAAUCACUAUUCUACGGGGGCGGCUCAUCAUCGCAACCAUCGGACGUGGGAAAGGCAGAUAUACCAUGGAAGGUAAGGACAACGUAACAAUCGAUCAUGGAGGAAGAUGAUGAAGCUGUCCAUCCCGAAGAUACGAUUACUCAGAGGGCCGUGCUAG